rnacentral:rRNA from 1 species
AUGAUGCUGAGCAACAGCAGCCGCGCUCCACGCUUCCUCUGCCUCCUCGUGCUGCUGCUCCUCCUCACCGUCUUCGCGCGGCGCUCCGGCGCCACCAGGCCCCUGCGGCAACCGGGCGCCGCCGGCGGUGGUGGUGGACGCGGAGGUGCUCGUGCCGGCCGGGAAGCGGGUCGAGGCGCUGCUCGGCAUGAAGCCCAGGUCGAGAGCGCCGCCGUCGGGCCCCAGCAAACGAACCAACGACAUCAAGAGCUGACGAUCCAGCUGCCUGCUCUGCUCUGCUCGGCUCUUCUCUGA